GCAAGUCGAACGAACUCUGGUAUUGAUUGGUGCUUGCAUCAUGAUUUACAUUUGAGUGAGUGGCGAACUGGUGAGUAACACGUGGGAAACCUGCCCAGAAGCGGGGGAUAACACCUGGAAACAGAUGCUAAUACCGCAUAACAACUUGGACCGCAUGGUCCGAGUUUGAAAGAUGGCUUCGGCUAUCACUUUUGGAUGGUCCCGCGGCGUAUUAGCUAGAUGGUGAGGUAACGGCUCACCAUGGCAAUGAUACGUAGCCGACCUGAGAGGGUAAUCGGCCACAUUGGGACUGAGACACGGCCCAAACUCCUACGGGAGGCAGCAGUAGGGAAUCUUCCACAAUGGACGAAAGUCUGAUGGAGCAACGCCGCGUGAGUGAAGAAGGGUUUCGGCUCGUAAAACUCUGUUGUUAAAGAAGAACAUAUCUGAGAGUAACUGUUCAGGUAUUGACGGUAUUUAACCAGAAAGCCACGGCUAACUACGUGCCAGCAGCCGCGGUAAUACGUAGGUGGCAAGCGUUGUCCGGAUUUAUUGGGCGUAAAGCGAGCGCAGGCGGUUUUUUAAGUCUGAUGUGAAAGCCUUCGGCUCAACCGAAGAAGUGCAUCGGAAACUGGGAAACUUGAGUGCAGAAGAGGACAGUGGAACUCCAUGUGUAGCGGUGAAAUGCGUAGAUAUAUGGAAGAACACCAGUGGCGAAGGCGGCUGUCUGGUCUGUAACUGACGCUGAGGCUCGAAAGUAUGGGUAGCAAACAGGAUUAGAUACCCUGGUAGUCCAUACCGUAAACGAUGAAUGCUAAGUGUUGGAGGGUUUCCGCCCUUCAGUGCUGCAGCUAACGCAUUAAGCAUUCCGCCUGGGGAGUACGGCCGCAAGGCUGAAACUCAAAGGAAUUGACGGGGGCCCGCACAAGCGGUGGAGCAUGUGGUUUAAUUCGAAGCUACGCGAAGAACCUUACCAGGUCUUGACAUACUAUGCAAAUCUAAGAGAUUAGACGUUCCCUUCGGGGACAUGGAUACAGGUGGUGCAUGGUUGUCGUCAGCUCGUGUCGUGAGAUGUUGGGUUAAGUCCCGCAACGAGCGCAACCCUUAUUAUCAGUUGCCAGCAUUAAGUUGGGCACUCUGGUGAGACUGCCGGUGACAAACCGGAGGAAGGUGGGGAUGACGUCAAAUCAUCAUGCCCCUUAUGACCUGGGCUACACACGUGCUACAAUGGAUGGUACAACGAGUUGCGAACUCGCGAGAGUAAGCUAAUCUCUUAAAGCCAUUCUCAGUUCGGAUUGUAGGCUGCAACUCGCCUACAUGAAGUCGGAAUCGCUAGUAAUCGCGGAUCAGCAUGCCGCGGUGAAUACGUUCCCGGGCCUUGUACACACCGCCCGUCACACCAUGAGAGUUUGUAACACCCAAAGUCGGUGGGGUAACCUUUUAGAACCAGC
rnacentral:rRNA from 2 species